AGAUGCUGGUUGUGAAAACAGAAAUUGAUUAGUUCUUUUUCGCAACACUUCAAGCGUGCCUGGAAAGUAUGGAAAACAUUUAUUCAGGGACCCAGAUGUUGUUCCAUCUUAGCAUUCUGUCGUCUUCAACAUGUGGUUUUCAAUGUCACUGAAGAAAGGGGAAGCAAAACAGAAUCUUGCAUCGAAGUAUUUUAUGAACCGCGUCUGAAAAUGGUGCACAUCAUUUCUACCAGAAUUUAUUUUAUUCACCAGUGUGAACUGGCCUCGGUUAUAUGGGCACUCUUAACUAUAAGGAAUAUCUUGCACGUUGGGGUUGGAGACAGUGACUGCAUUUGAAACAAGCUCAGAUGAUUUGGAACUGUUAUAAACUUAAAGUGUUUAUU